rnacentral:rRNA from 1 species
UACGUAGGCAGCGAGCGUUGUUCGGAGUUACUGGGCGUAAAGGGUGUGUAGGCGGUUGUUUAAGUUUGGGGUGAAAUCUCCCGGCUCAACUGGGAGGGUGCGCCGAAUACUGAAUGACUUGGAGUGCGGGAGAGGAGAGUGGAAUUCCUGGUGUAGCGGUGAAAUGCGUAGAUAUCAGGAGGAACACCGGUGGCGAAGGCGGGUCUCUGGGCCGAUACUGACACUGAGAAGCGAAAGCGUGGGGAGCGAUCCGG